rnacentral:misc_RNA from 1 species
AACAUCGCGCACCUGCGGGAACCUGCGGAAGGAUCAUUACAGAGUUGCAAAACUCCCACACCCUCGCGAACGUUACCCGUCCCGUUGCUUCGGCGGGCCGUCCCGGGGCCGCCCCGCGGUCCCUGAGCGCCCCGCCGAAGGCCCUAAACCCGGUGUCCUGUGGUGGCCUCUCUGAGUUACACCAUAUCGAAUCAGUCAAAACUUUUAACAAUGGAUCU